AGUUCUCGUCUCGACCUUCUGACUCACAACUAAUCCCAGAGCAUUCAUUCCCAUACGCCCACCUCGUUAACUCGUUAAUUAACUUCACCUGUCUCUCACACGCACCCACACGUCUAUAUUAAGGUGCUCACGUAGGAUUGGUUUAAUUUUUUAUGUCUUUAGCCUCGCUUAUCAGGUUUUCGCAUCAGAUAGUGCGCUCGCGUUUUCCGUCAAUUUCAGCUAAACUCAAAAGGGACCCACCGCUACUUAUAAACGUGUUUUUGUGUGCUACUUUUGACUGAACAAUCCUGACAAACAUUUCCACCAGAGGAAGGUCUUCAACAAAGAACACCACAGACAAUGCCUUGCUGAUGACUGACUUAACUUGACUGUAUGGGGGGGCCCGCUGCCCCCCCAUACAUCACCGACGACGUCCUGAUUGUGAACGGCGGGGGAUGAGGCCACAGGUCAGCUUAGCUCAGGAGUUGUAACUUGGUUUUUGAUCGUGGACAGUAAGGAUUCUCUGCCUGAUGACUCCUUUGAACGCCCCCUUGUGCAGAAUGGUAUCACUUUGACUGUUGCAGCGGUAAGGAAUCGUGGCAUUAUCUCCUGCCAGUUGUAAAUGAUGUUGCAGUGUACCGCGUGCUAAGGAGCCUGGGAAAGGAAGAGUCGAAGCGCCUUUCCUUAGCAGUUGGUCAAU